GACGAACGCUGGCGGCGUGCCUAAUACAUGCAAGUCGAGCGGAUGGAAGGAAGCUUGCUUCCUAAAGUCAGCGGCGGACGGGUGAGUAACACGUGGGCAACCUGCCCCUAAGAUCGGGAUAACUUCGGGAAACCGGAGCUAAUACCGGAUAUGAUUAUGUCUCACAUGAGACAUAAUGGAAAGACGGUUUCGGCUGUCACUUAGGGAUGGGCCCGAGGCGCAUUAGCUAGUUGGUGAGGUAACGGCUCACCAAGGCGACGAUGCGUAGCCGACCUGAGAGGGUGAUCGGCCACACUGGGACUGAGACACGGCCCAGACUCCUACGGGAGGCAGCAGUAGGGAAUCUUCCGCAAUGGACGAAAGUCUGACGGAGCAACGCCGCGUGAGUGAAGAAGGUUUUCGGAUCGUAAAACUCUGUUGUUAGGGAAGAACAAGUACCAUAGUAACUGAUGGUACCUUGACGGUACCUAACCAGAAAGCCACGGCUAACUACGUGCCAGCCGCCGCAGUAACAC
rnacentral:rRNA from 1 species